rnacentral:tRNA from 1 species
AGAAUUUUAGCUUAUAAAAAAGCUUAUACUUUGAAAGUAUACAAAACUAAAUAUUUAGUAAAUUCUU